rnacentral:rRNA from 1 species
CUACGGGGGGCACCAGUUAGGAAUAUUCUACAAUGCGCGCAAGCGUGAUAGAUUGAGCCAGAGUGUUUUUCAAUGAAAAGCUUUUGCCAAAUGUAAAAAGUUUGGCGAAUAAGGACUGGGUAAGACUAGUGCCAGCCGCCGCGGUAAUACUAGCGGUCCAAGUCGCAGCCAUUUUUAUUGGGUCUAAAACAUCCGUAGCUUGUUUGAUAAGUUUCUUGUGAAAUUUCAUAUCUCAAAUAUGGAGCGUGCAGGAAAUACUAUCAAGCUAGAGACUGGAAGACGUAAGAAGUACGAUAGAGGUAGCGGUUAAAUGUUUUAAUCUCUGUUGGACUCACAAUAGCGAAGGCAUCUUACGAGGACAGUUCUGACAGUAAGGGAUGAAGGCUAGGGGCGCAAAACGGAUUAGAUACCCGAGUAGUC